GCACUACUGAGGAGUCCUACAAUAGGACGAAAUGGUCUUCUAGUGC
rnacentral:hammerhead_ribozyme from 1 species